CCCGACUGCUAUUUGGGUGAGAAUAAGCCAUGCGAGUUGAAUGGGAUACCUAAAGUUCCCAUAGCAAACUGCUCAGUAACACAUGAUCAACUUACCCUAUAGAGAAAAAUAACCUCGGGAAACUGAGGAUAAUGUUUCAUAAUUGAAUUGGCUUGGAAAAGUUUUUCAAUGAAAGGGAUAAAAAAAGUGGUUUUUAUCUGCUAUAGGAUAGGAUCGUGUUCGAUUAUGGUUGUUGGUGAGAUAAUGGCUCACCAAGCCGAUAAUCGAUAGGGGCCGUGAGAGCGGGAGCCCCGGGAUGGGUACUGAGACAACGACCCAGGUCUUACGAGACGCAGCAGGCGCGAAACCUCCGCAAUACACGAAAGUGUGACGGGGUUACCCAAAGUGUUCAAUUUUGAACUGUGGUAGGUGAGUAAUGUCCCCUACUAGAAAGGAGAGGGCAAGGCUGGUGCCAGCCGCCGCGGUAAAACCAGCUCUUCAAGUGGUCGGGAUAAUAUUGGGCUUAAAGUGUCCGUAGCCGGUUUAGUAAGUUCCUGGUAAAAUCGGGUAGCUUAACUAUCUGCAUGCUAGGAAUACUGCUAUACUAGAGGGCGGGAGAGGUCUGAGGUACUACAGGGGUAGGGGUGAAAUCUUAUAAUCCUUGUAGGACCACCAGUGGCGAAGGCGUCAGACUGGAACGCGCCUGACGGUGAGGGACGAAAGCCAGGGGAGCGAACCGGAUUAGAUACCCGGGUAGUCCUGGCCGUAAACGAUGCAUACUAGGUGAUGGCACGGCCAUGAGCCGUGUCAGUGCCGUAGGGAAACCGUUAAGUGUGCCGCCUGGGAAGUACGGUCGCAAGGCUAAAACUUAAAGGAAUUGGCGGGGGAGCACC
rnacentral:rRNA from 1 species